rnacentral:rRNA from 1 species
CCUACGGGUGGCAGCAGUGGGGAAUAUUGCACAAUGGGGGAAACCCUGAUGCAGCAACGCCGCGUGAGUGAAGAAGUAUUUCGGUAUGUAACGCUCUAGCAGCAGGGAAGAGAAUGACGGUACCUGACUAAGAAGCCCCGGCUAACUACGUGCCAGCAGCCGCGGUAAUACGUAGGGGGCGAGCGUUAUCCGGAUUUACUGGGUGGAAAGGGAGCGUCGACGGUUCUGCAAGGCUGAAGUGAAAGCCCGGGGCUUAACCGCGGAACGGCUUUGGAAACUGUGGAACUGGAGUGCUGGAGAGGCAAGCGGAAUUCCUAGUGUAGCGGUGAAAUGCGUAGAUAUUAGGAGGAACACCAGUGGCGAAGGCGGCUUGCUGGACAGUAACUGACGUUGAGGCUCGAAAGCGUGGGGAGCAAACAGGAUUAGAUACCCCUGUAGUC